UCGAGCGGACAGAAGGGAGCUUGCUCCCGGAUGUUAGCGGCGGACGGGUGAGUAACACGUGGGUAACCUGCCUGUAAGACUGGGAUAACUCCGGGAAACCGGAGCUAAUACCGGAUAGUUCCUUGAACCGCAUGGUUCAAGGAUGAAAGACGGUUUCGGCUGUCACUUACAGAUGGACCCGCGGCGCAUUAGCUAGUUGGUGAGGUAACGGCUCACCAAGGCGACGAUGCGUAGCCGACCUGAGAGGGUGAUCGGCCACACUGGGACUGAGACACGGCCCAGACUCCUACGGGAGGCAGCAGUAGGGAAUCUUCCGCAAUGGACGAAAGUCUGACGGAGCAACGCCGCGUGAGUGAUGAAGGUUUUCGGAUCGUAAAGCUCUGUUGUUAGGGAAGAACAAGUGCAAGAGUAACUGCUUGCACCUUGACGGUACCUAACCAGAAAGCCACGGCUAACUACGUGCCAGCAGCCGCGGUAAU
rnacentral:rRNA from 1 species